GAUGAACGCUGGCGGCAGGCCUAACACAUGCAAGUCGAACGGAUCCUUCGGGAUUAGUGGCGGACGGGUGAGUAACGCGUGGGAACAUACCCUUUGGUACGGAAUAGCCUCGGGAAACUGGGAGUAAUACCGUAUGUGGUCGAGAGACGAAAGAUUUAUCGCCAAAGGAUUGGCCCGCGUUGGAUUAGGUAGUUGGUGGGGUAAUGGCCUACCAAGCCGACGAUCCAUAGCUGGUUUGAGAGGAUGAUCAGCCACACUGGGACUGAGACACGGCCCAGACUCCUACGGGAGGCAGCAGUGGGGAAUCUUAGACAAUGGGGGAAACCCUGAUCUAGCCACGCCGCGUGAUCGAUGAAGGCCUUAGGGUUGUAAAGAUCUUUCAGGUGGGAAGAUAAUGACUGUACCACCAGAAGAAGCCCCGGCUAACUCCGUGCCAGCCGCCGCAGUAA
rnacentral:rRNA from 1 species